UUUGUCAAAAGUAAAAAACCAAAAAAAAAAGAGGAAAAGAAAAGCAUUACACAAAAGCAAAGCAUUGGAGUGUUGACGAUGACGCUGCAGGAGGCGCCGAUCACGCAACAACAAGCACGACACUAAAAUUUCUCCCAUUCAAAAUCAUCACAAAUAGAUAGAUUUAGCUAUUAUUCUCUGUAAAUUUUUCUUGUCGGUAAGAGAAAAUGCCUUUGUCGUCGACUUCGGUAGCAGCACAGGGCGGGCACAGGAAGAUCGGCAUAGCAGUGGAUCUGAGUGAUGAGUCGGCCUUCGCAGUGAAAUGGGCGGUGGCGAAUUAUCUGCGGCCCGGGGACAACGUGAUUCUUGUUCAUGUACGCCCCACGAGCGUCCUGUACGGUGCUGACUGGGGUUCCAUCGACCUCUCUGUGGAGGACAGCAAUACAGACGAGGAAUCGCAGCAGAAGCUCGAAGAUGACUUCGACAAUUUCACUUCCACUAAGGCUACUGAUCUGGCGCAGCCCCUGGUCGACGCGCACAUUCCGUUUAAGAUCCACAUCGUUAAGGACCACGACAUGAAGGAGCGCCUCUGCUUGGAGGUCGAGCGCCUCGGCCUCAGCGCUGUCAUUAUGGGGAGUCGAGGCUUUGGCGCCUCCAGGAGGAACUCAAAGGGCAGGCUUGGUAGCGUCAGUGACUAUUGCGUUCACCAUUGCGUCUGCCCUGUCGUUGUCAUCAGGUACCCUGAUGAGGAGAAGGACUGCAGCCUUGCUGAAGUGCAGCCCACCGAACCGCUUAAAGAGUCAGAGUUGGAGAUGGACGCUGUGCCAGAGGAGGACGAGGCGGAUGAACAUCAAUCAUAGAUAAAACCAGUUUGGGUAAACUCCAAAAAGUGGGAGAUUGUUCCACCAUCAACAAGAAAUGUAAGUGGCUUCUGGAUGAAUCUUAUGCAAAUGCAAGGAUGGUGUUUAAGAUGAGGAGAAGGCUUGAAUGACACGUGUCUGAAAGCAAAUUUAUAGUUGAGACAUAAAACACCUGAUUUGUUUUGAUGUAAGAGGUUUGUGAGAAGCUUUAUGCUGUCUGUAAUUAUGUUUUACUUUUUGGUUCAGACAAUGUAACUUGGGUUUUUACAUUGUAAAGGCUUUGCAGACGGGCAUUGUUUGUGUUAUGAAGUAUUAAAUAUUGUAUCUGGAA